AAAUGAAUAGACGGGGACCCGCACAAGCGGUGGAGCAUGUGGUUUAAUUCGACGCAACGCGAGGAACCUUACCAGGUCUUGACAUCGUAGGAAUUUAUUAGAGAUAAUGAAGUGCCUCUAUGAGGAACCUAUAGACAGGUGGUGCAUGGCUGUCGUCAGCUCGUGUCGUGAGAUGUUAGGUUAAGUCCUAUAACGAGCGCAACCCCUAUUGAUAGUUGCUAACAUUAAGUUGAGGACUCUAUCGAGACUGCCUGCGACGAGCAGGAGGAAGGUGGGGAUGACGUCAAGUCAUCAUGCCCCUUAUGACCUGGGCUACACACGUGCUACAAUGGGUAGUACAAAGAGAAGCGAAGUGGUGACAUGGAGCAAAACUCAAAAAGCUACUCUUAGUUCGGAUUGAAGUCUGCAACUCGACUUCAUGAAGUUGGAAUCGCUAGUAAUCGCAAAUCAGCAAUGUUGCGGUGAAUACGUUCUCGGGUCUUGUACACACCGCCCGU
rnacentral:rRNA from 1 species